rnacentral:tRNA from 1 species
CGACCCGUCGCUUAAAUGGCAAGAGCGCCCCCGCGCAGGGGAGACCCGAGUUCGAUUCUCGGCGGGCCGA